UCUUUGGUAUUCUAGCUGUA
rnacentral:miRNA from 4 species